GGGUAAGCUCGAAGUCUGACGGAGCAACGCCGCGUGAACGAAGAAGGCCUUCGGGUCGUAAAGUUCUGUUGUUAGGGAAGAACAAGUACCAGAGUAACUGCUGGUACCUUGACGGUACCUAACCAGAAAGCCACGGCUAACUACGUGCCAGCAGCCGCGGUAAUACGUAGGUGGCAAGCGUUGUCCGGAAUUAUUGGGCGUAAAGCGCGCGCAGGUGGUUCUUUAAGUCUGAUGUGAAAGCCCACGGCUCAACCGUGGAGGGUCAUUGGAAACUGGGGAACUUGAGUGCAGAAGAGGAAAGUGGAAUUCCAAGUGUAGCGGUGAAAUGCGUAGAGAUUUGGAGGAACACCAGUGGCGAAGGCGACUUUCUGGUCUGUAACUGACACUGAGGCGCGAAAGCGUGGGGAGCAAACAGGAUUAGAUACCCUGGUAGUCCACGCCGUAAACGAUGAGUGCUAAGUGUUAGAGGGUUUCCGCCCUUUAGUGCUGCAGCUAACGCAUUAAGCACUCCGCCUGGGGAGUACGGCCGCAAGGCUGAAACUCAAAGGAAAUUGACGGA
rnacentral:rRNA from 2 species